rnacentral:rRNA from 1 species
CAGCAGCCGCGGGAAUACGAAGGGGGCUAGCGUUGUUCGGAAUUACUGGGCGUAAAGCGCACGUAGGCGGACAUUUAAGUUAGGGGUGAAAUCCCGGGGCUCAACCCCGGAACUGCCUUUGAUACUGGGUGUCUAGAGUAUGGAAGAGGUGAGUGGAAUUCCGAGUGUAGAGGUGAAAUUCGUAGAUAUUCGGAGGAACACCAGUGGCGAAGGCGGCUCACUGGUCCAUUACUGACGCUGAGGUGCGAAAGCGUGGGGAGCAAACAGGAUUAGAUACCCAGUAGUCCCUGUCUCUUAUACA